UACCUAAAAAAUAAGUGCAUGAGCGCAUAUCUGUAGUACACAGCUAGAAAAAAUGUAUUAAUACGAGUGGUUGUCCGCUAAAACUGACGGACGCUCGGCCGCUUAAUACGAGCGGUGCAUAACGUCCGUUUCCACUGGAGCAGUUCCACUGGAGCAGCCACUCUUUGCGUUACAGAGAGGGGUAUUAUCUUCGAAAUCCUCCCACUAGAGGACACCACGGUUGUGCCGUUGACCGUUGACCUGUUUUACUUUUCAAAUUUCCAAUGGCGGCGAUAGCGACAGACGCGUAUCGGUCUUUUUUUUUUUCUGCCAGACCCUAGUACUUGGGCCCUUGAACUUCUUCAGUGCUUGCGCCACCGAAGGCUGUGGUUCGUCUCAUGCGCGUUGUUAUAUCCUGCACUCACAACCCGCUGCAGUACUUGGAUAGAAGUUCCAGAUUUUAAGCAGAACACCUUUUCUAUUUCUGGGGAAUGUGCUGCCGCAACCAUUCAGCUCAGGUUCGUACAUUCUCGUUUCAGGUGGUGACAUUUUCAGUCAGAGCACUUUUUUCUUGACGUGAAACGAGCGAUACCCUUUGAAGCUGUUCGGAAGUUCCUUGAUGCUGCGAUGCUUAUGUUCUCUGCAUACUUUGCCCUGAACAUGAAACACCCAUGAUGCAUGCGAGCUUCACUGGAAUUCAUUAUUGAAAGGUACGUUCAAGGACAAAUGAAUGUAAUACUUGUCCACUUAUUGUUCACCAACUAAGCGGUAUGACAACGUCCUACACGUCUGACAACGUCCUACAAAGCCAGCGUGUGUAUGACACUACUUAUACGCAUGAUGCACUAUUUCAUUAACGCUAACGAAAAGCAACAUGUGCAGGCCAUGACUAGCUGAUACCUGUCAACAGAAUUCUGCACUGCGAGUGUAGUGAAAGUUUAAAUCCUGCCACGAUUUAAAUCUGAAUGAAAUCGAAUCUCACUUUAUUUAUUUAUCAUAUUAUUACAUUUAUUUAUUAUAUCCAUUGCCAAAUCCAGAAGGCUGGCAACAUAAAAAAAUUCCUGGAGGAACAAGCCCAGCUAGCCUAUCCAAAUGCUUAUACGUACUUCCACAGAAGUAGAAUGCAAUCAAAUUUUCAAUCCUUUAUUAGAUGCACGAUUCAUUCUGAAGCUAAAUUUGCUUCUAAAAUGAAGUUUAUAUCUAAAUUCAUUGGAAUUCUUCCCAUACUUGAUUUUGAUUUGAUUUGCUGCAUCCUUUCAAAUAACCUCAAAUUUGUUUGGUCAAAUUCACAUCCCUCAUGUAGACUGGUAUACAUAUUAUACUGUGAAGCCAAUGUACAUAUCAUUGGCUAGUCGGCCACUGAAACUACAAUUCACUAACGGACAAACGUUUAUCAGUCUUACAUACGACAUUUGUACCUUACUUAAAUGCUUCGUGUUUCUUCCAUUACACAUAUCAUGAACCAGCCAGAGGAGCGGGGCACAAAACAAGCCAGGAAGACACAUUCAAGAAAGGCACUUAAGGUGAUUCAGCUGUUGCGUCAAACGAAGUGGGCCUUCCAACAAUACCAACUUGUUAAAUAAAUAUUUGUAUAAAGCACACUUCCUGCACCUGUUGUGUUGGUGACAAGUAAUCUGAGCAGCGAAUGUUACAUUGUGGAUGUAUUCAAGUAGGUUUUCCAGCUUAGAAGAGACGUAUCCAGAGCACAAGUACAUCGUACCGUACAUCGGUCAGAGGCUGCGAUGCCCUUCUUCUGUUUGUCUACACAUCUUUGUUCCUGUGAAACAUUUAUAUGCG